GCCCAUGGCUCGCCCUUGUCUCAGAGUCAAAGCCCGAGCUCUUGUGCUGGCCUGGAAGGUCCCUGGGCUCUCCAUCCUCACCUCCUAGGACUUCUCGCUCUUGCUCACUCCAUUCAGCACUGGCCCCUUGGAGUAAAGGGAGACUCUGCUGCAGAUCGACUGGUUAGCAUCACCCAGAGAGAGACCGUCUUUCUUACCAACAUGGGCUAAGCAGCAUAAACAGAAACCCUGCGCUCUGGAGGCAGAUCAACUUGAUUUAUCCAUGUCUUCAGCAGAUAAGUACCGACAGCCGUCUACACACCAGGCUGUGUCUACAGGGAGCUUCCUCUCUAAUAGAAGGACCAGAAAAUGAAGAAAUGAGCCAAGAGGCAUAUUGUAUGUCGGGUGUUGAGAAGAAAGAGGAAGAAACAUGAAGAAGAAGAGAUGGUGGCAUUUUAAAUGCAGAGGGACUGAAACCCAGGCUUUGCUGCUUUGCUGCUGUGUGUUCUGGCACCAGGAGCUAACUUGGCUGAGCCGCCGUGUCUUCCUCCAGAAAAUGGGGACACAAGUUCUGCUGGGAUCCCAGUCCUGAGGAUUUGCUGGAAGAGGCAGAAUGCCAGUACAUGCAGGCUUCUGAGUAACGCCGGAGUCUUCUCAUUGUCCCGUGGCUCUGACCUCCAGUCACAGGAUCAGAAGAGGACCACGUACCGAGGUUUGGUCGUCUGUGAGAAGGUCUAACUGUGCUGAGCGGAAGGUUGAGAACGCACCUGUUCGAAGAGAUGGUGAGACCACUGGGGGGAAGGCCACAAAAUAAUCUGAACCGGCAUGCCUCCAAGUGCUGAUGAGAAAGAUCGUCCACACCAAGGGGGUCUCCGGACAGAGGCUGAAAGCUCCAGAAGGGCACACGUUGGCGUUCCAGGCGUCCUGAGACAAUGCACGGCAGAGUGCUGGGCUCAUGUGUGGAGUACUGUUCCUGAGCACAUUUCAUCUGAGCCUUUAAUGGUGGAGAAACAACUGGACAAGUACAGGCUGAGGAACAUCUAUGGGACCACGGCCCCCCGCUCUUUUCAUGAGUGUGAAUGCUGUAAACACAGCAACAGGGGACGGUUGAUUAGAUAGAGAACCCUACACGGAUGUGGCAGCUGGCUGCACACCUUGAUCCUUGACUGGAUCGUGGAUUGGGCAAAAUAAACAGUUUAAAAGAUAUUUGGGGAGAAUGGGAAAUUGUAAAAUGGACCCAAAAUUAAAUAACAUGAUAUACAUGCUAAA